AGAGCGAACGCUGGCGGCAUGCUUAACACAUGCAAGUCGCACGGUCAGCAAUGGCAGUGGCGGACGGGUGAGUAACGCGUAGGAAUCUAUCUAUUGGUGGGGGACAACCGUGGGAAACUACGGCUAAUACCGCAUGAUGCCUGAGGGCCAAAGCAGUGAUGCGCCAUAGGAGGAGCCUGCGUCUGAUUAGCUUGUUGGUGGGGUAAAGGCCUACCAAGGCUACGAUCAGUAGCUGGUCUGAGAGGAUGAUCAGCCACAUUGGGACUGAGACACGGCCCAAACUUCUACGGGAGGCAGCAGUGGGGAAUAUUGGACAAUGGGGGCAACCCUGAUCCAGCAAUGCCGCGUGGGUGAAGAAGGUCUUCGGAUUGUAAAGCCCUUUUGGCAGGGACGAUGAUGACGGUACCUGCAGAAUAACGCCCGGCUAACUUCGUGCCAGCAGCCGCGGUAA
rnacentral:rRNA from 1 species